GACGAACGCUGGCGGCGUGCCUAAUACAUGCAAGUCGAACGCAGUGGGGACGGGUGAGUAACACGUGGUUAACCUCCCCUCAGAGGGGAUAACACUUGGAAACAGGUGCUAAACCUAUACUGAUGGAUGGACCCGCGGUGCAUUAGCUAGUUGGUGAGGUAACGGCUCACCAAGGCCACGAUGCAUGGCCGACCUGAGAGAGUAAUGGGCCACACUGGGACUGAGAAACGGCCCGGACUCCUACGGGAGGCAGCAGUAGGGAAUCUUAGGCAAUGGACGAAAGUCGGACCGAGCAAAGCCGCGUGAGUGAAGAAGGUUUUCGGAUCGUAAAAAUCUGUUGUGAGAGAAGCGGUAUCUAACCAGAAAGCCACGGCUAACGACGUGCCAGCAGCCGCAGUAAUAC
rnacentral:rRNA from 1 species